GGGCCCGCACAAGCAGCGGAGCAUGUGGUUUAAUUCGAAGCAACGCGAAGAACCUUACCAGGUCUUGACAUCCAGGUAAAGCGGUAGAGAUACCGUGUGUGCUUGCACAAUCUGAGACAGGUGGUGCAUGGUUGUCGUCAGCUCGUGUCGUGAGAUGUUGGGUUAAGUCCCGCAACGAGCGCAACCCUUGCGAUUGGUUGCUAACAGGUAAAGCUGAGAACUCCAGUAGGACUGCCGGGGACAACUCGGAGGAAGGUGGGGACGACGUCAAAUCAUCAUGCCCCUUAUGACCUGGGCUACACACGUGCUACAAUGGCCACUACAAAGAGGAGCGAAGUCGUAAGGCGGAGCAGAUCUGCAAAAAGUGGUCUCAGUUCAGAUUGAGGGCUGCAACCCGCCCUCAUGAAGUCGGAGUUGCUAGUAAUCGCGAAUCAGCAUGUCG
rnacentral:rRNA from 1 species